UCCCUUCGCUGAGGCAAAUGCUGAGGACUCUGGUGCUGGGACAAAAGAUUAUGUUCAUGUGCGCGUGCAGCAGCGAAAUGGGAGGAAAAGCCUGACUACUGUUCAAGGGUUGAAGAAGGAAUAUAGCUACAACAAGAUACUUAAGGACCUCAAGAAAGAGUUCUGCUGCAAUGGAACUGUUGUCCAGGACCCUGAGUUAGGCCAGGUUUGUUUCUAUCUAUGUUGUUUUCAGAAUGUCCUUGAGAGGUAUUAUCAUAAAUCUGUACAUAGUCUGCUGUUGCAAACAAGGGGUGAUUACAUGCAGUCCUCAGCUCUUUUGUUAUUCAAACUGUGGGGAAAAUGACGUGUAAAGUAUUUUGGAAUAUCUUCUUUGAAAAUAAAGAUCUUGUAAAGCUAGAUUUUUUUUUAUAUUAUGGGUGGGUAUUAGAUUCUCCAUUACCCACGCAUCCCUUGUGGAACGAUCCAUUGCAUGUUGGGAGCUAUCUCUGACAUUCCUUUAUUCCCUUUCUUGCUUAGAAAUUUCCAUCAUUAUCUCUUACAGUUGGUUUGAAUUUGAUAUCUAGACCAACCCAGAGAAUGAACACUUGCAGCAUGGACCUUGGUUUCUCAUUUGGCAUGGAAUAGAGAAACACCACAUCUGUCCAAACAUUUGGAAUUAUUGUAUUAGCAAUAGUCUUUACUAGUGCCAUUCAAUUGGUAACUAGUAAGCUGUGCCAACAUGAAGAGAGUGUCAGUAAGGAUGUGUGUAACCUUUAAUCGGCCGUCUUGUGCUUGCACUAAAUACCAGUGCAUAAGCCUGGUUUGGAUAUAUUAAAUAUCUUUCUGCCGAAAUAAUUUAGUGUGAGCACUGCUUUUGUGCGUGGCUGCAGGUCAUUCAACUUCAGGGUGAUCAAAGGAAGAACGUAUCCACCUUCCUCGUGCAGGUAACAAACACAUCCUGGUCUUGUUUUAGACAAAGUACUUGUAUAUUUAGCAACCAUCAAUGAAAAAUCUUCGUUUACUCUCUGUGAACAGGCUGGCAUUGUGAAGAAGGAAAGUAUCAAGAUUCAUGGUUUCUAAGAAGUAGCAAGCUUAUUGCUAGGAUACCUAGUUUACACGUCUCGCAUGGUAGAGCUUGUGUCCUCCUCAACUUUAUUUCAGGAUAUUCUGCUUUCUGCAUUUUUAAAGUGGAUUCGCUUCUUUGUGUGUGAUGUGGAUUUAGUAUGUACAACCACCGGAUCUUUCACCGGAAUAAAGGUUGCUCGCUGUGUGGAUUUAAUAUGUAUGACCACUGGAUCCCUUAUCAGAAUAAAGGUUGCUGGCGUUCUAUAGAUGUUUGUGUUCCUUGCAGUAAAUUAAACCUUGAAAAAUUACGUGAUCCUUUCUACCUUUUCUUCAAGUUGAGAACAGAAGUAAUAUAAAAUAAUAUUUCAAGCCUCUUAAACUAGGUUAUUUUGGUGUUUUUGUUUUCUGGUGUUUUUUUUUAGUGUUUUUAAUUUUAAAAAAAUAUUAAUUUGAUAUUUUUUUUAGUAUUUUUUUAUGGUUUUGAUUUGCCAAUAUAAAAAAUAAAAAACAAAUCUGGAAAAAAAAAUUAUUUUAAUAUUUUUUCAAUCAAAAAGUUAUUUUUAAAAAUAUUUUAUAGUUUAAUCCCAAACAUCCCUAAUCCCUAUCAUCCCUUUUAUAUGUUGGAAAUUUAACAUACCUUUUAUAUGUUGGAAAUUUAACAUUUUUUGGGCAUUGUUAUUAAACCUUGUAUAAUAAUUCAUAUUUAAAAAAUAUUGUUUAGAUUAUGAUUUUCUUUAACAGAUAAAUCUAAAAAAAAAUUAAAAGCAAGAAAAACAAAAUAGGCUAGGAUUAUUUAUUCGUUAAAUUUAUAACUUAAGUUAUGAACUUGAAUUAAUUUUAUUUUUAUUUUAUUAUAUGAUAAAAGAUAUAAAAAUCUUUUUACAAUUAACUAGUACUGAAAUAUAGAAAUUAAUAAAAACUCAGCAUUACAUUAAAGAAUAUAAUUGUUGCUUGACCAAUAUUUUGUUUCUUUUUUAUUAAAGGGUGGAUAACUUGUAAUCCAUCCUAAAUAUACUCUCUAGUUUGAAAUAAAUAUGGAGUUAUAGAAAACACCAGAUUUGUUGUACACGCUCUACCACAAGCAGGGUAAAAAUAAAAUUCUGGCAUAAAAGAAUCUGAGACUUGAACCAUUGGUUCAAUUGAUAAUUUAAAAAAUAUCUAAAAAAAUCAAUAACAAUAAAUAAACUAAUCAAAAAAAAUAAUAAUGAAAUUUUUUUUUUAAAAAAAAACAAAAGAAAAACAUACAUAAGCUAACCUCUUAAAAGAUUAAACGUUAAAAAAAACAUCAACUUCAAAAAGAAAAAAAAACCAAGUAAGCUCAUACAAAACUAUUAAACAUGAUUUAAUCUUCAAAACUCACAGCCCGUGAAAUCUUGAACUCAGAUUCAAUCAAAAAACAUAAAUUUCAAUCAAUUUAAUUUUGAAUGAUGAAAUCAUGGGAAAAAUAUUGAUAAAAACACUUGUGAAAACAAAAACAAAUAGUAAUAAAAAGAAGAUGAUAAAAUUUGAUAGAAAAAAAAUCAAAAACGAUGAAAUUUGAUAAAAAAAAAUAAAAAUGAUCUCAAAUAAAAAAUAGCAAUAAAAAGAAUAAUGACCAAAUUUGGAAAAAAAAAUCAUAGAGGGUGGAAAUUAAAAAAAACAUUUGUAAAUUGAUAAAUUAUUUAUAGUUUUAAAAAAGAUAGGGGUUAAAUUAAAAAAAAUAUUUGUAAUUUUAUAGAUAAUUAAAAAAAAUAGCGAUCAAAAGGAUAUAAAUCAAAUGUAAAAAAAAAUCAACUAUGGUGGCUAGUCUGAAUUUUUGAAGAAGUUGGUGCGACGUUCAAGGUAGAUAGAGAGAGAAUGAAAAAAAAUAUUUCAAAUAUCAUUGUAAAAAGCAGUGUUCGGUUGCUGAAUAAUCCCACAAGAGUUCCUCAAAUGACGACGUACUAACAUAUCUUCUAAAAAGUUUUUUAAAAUAAUAUUUAAUAUAUAUCAAUUACAAUAAUGCCCAUGAAAAAUCUUAAAAUUUUCAAUAAAAUUAAUAUAAAAUGACUAAAAAGCUAUUGUGAGGGAAUGAUGUUAAUUUUGUUUUUUAUAGACUUUAAAGUAAUUAUACUAUUUUAAGGGAAAAAUAUCAAGAUGCCCUUAAGUGAAAGACAUUAUAUAUUUUUUUAUUAUAUGGUUAAACGAGUAAUUUUAUUGUGCAAUAAAAAAAAAUGAUUAAUCUAAUCUUAUACAACUUGUUACAAGCAUUUGUAUCAUGAUGAAAAAAUCAUCUACUUAAAAGAUUAGUUAAAUAGUUUCUUUGUUUAAGGAUAAUUUCAUAAUUAUACUAUUAUAAUGAAUAGUAUCCCGAGUCUCGAUGCACAUUUACUUCCUAAGGACAAUUAGCUUUUUUAAUAGCUAUCAUGCUUGGAUCAAGAUCUAGAUUGUGGGAAUGAGUCAACUCAUGUUUAUUUUAAAAUGACUUGUUUAAGUUUUUUUUUAAAUAUAAAAAAUGACAUUAUUUUGGGCAAAAAAAAAUUAAAAAGUUGAAAUGAUUUGUUUUUGAAUAAAAUUAUUAAAAUUGACUUGGUAGGGUCUUCUAACUAAGUCAAUUUUAAUAUUAGGUUAUUUGAAUGUGAUAAACCCGAUUCUUAAAUAAGUAAAAAAUAAACUUGGUUCAAGUUGUGCUCUUAGAUCGCCGGAUCCACCCAUUGGCCAAAUCAAGAUUAAUAGCUAAGGUAGAAAAUGAAAAAAAAAAGAAGUUCCAUGUUUACUAAAAUGCCCCUCUUUUUUUUUUUUUUAUAGAAAGAAUUAUAAAUGGGCUCACCCAUGUGCUCAUUGGGAUAGUUGUUUUAUGGGCCUCAAGCCCUUUCCCACAUAAAAGAAAAAGGUUAGCAACUUAGCAUAAGGGGUAAGAAUCAGGACCACUGUCUGUCCCUAUCCCACGUGGCCUCCAAACAAUCUCAACCGUAGAAACAGCCGACCCGAAGAAGCUGCUGAGGUCAAUAAAUAUUGUCUCUCACCUUCGCAUAAUCACCAUAAUCGCCAAAGAAAGAAACCCAAAUUUCAUCUCUCAUCUUUCUUGGGUUUUCUUGCUUUGUUUCUCAAUCUUUCUGUCAGGUAAUAAUCCAUAGUUUUUCUAGCCUGGUUUCUUUUAAGGUUUUGUUUUGGUUUCAUCUUGUCUUUCUGUUUGUAAAUAUUAGGUUUUGGUUAAUUUUGUGUUUUGUCUUUAUUUUUUCGUAAUUGGAUUUUUUUAUUGUUUUUUGUUCAUGAUGGUGUUUUGUAUUAUUGUUUGUGAUUGUUUUUUGUUGGUUUUUGCGGGAAAAAAUGAUUUUUUUUAAAAUAUUGGUAGAAAUUUCUGUAUGGUGUUGAAGUUUUUCUUAUUUUUUCAUUUCUAGCCUGGAUGAUGAGUAUGUUUUUCUGUUUGUUUGAUAAGGAUUUGAGGGAAAGGAGCUGAAAAAGUAACUGCAUAUUAACAUUCAACCUUUUCUAUUGGCUGAUCCAAAUUUUAAUGUUUAGAAUCCAGCUUAUGUUGUGUGUUUCUAGCUCUCUUAAUUGUUUCUAGCUUUUUUUUUUUUCACUUGUGGACUGCUAGAACACAGUUCCUGGAAUUAUUCAAUCAAUUACAAGUUUUUGGUUAUGUUAAUAAUGGGUUUAUUUGAGGAAAAGUUUGAAACUUUUAUAGGCUGUUUGGAAACUUAAGAUUUGAGUAUAGGGUAUUUUGAUAGAGAAUUAUGAAGCUACAGACUUGUGCCUCAGAUGGCAUGAGGGACUGGUGUGACCAAAAUUCAUAGUGUCUUGUUAGGAGAUGGAAGGAGAUGACCCUUAAUUUUCUGUAGUGAUAUAAUGGAACUAGUACUUAAAGAUGUUUGUUCAUCAGUUGACAAGAAAAGAUAUGUUUGAUGAAUGGGGUGAUCCACAUGCAUUUUAGAUUUUAUUAUUUUGGACUGAUUGUUGAUGAUAAGGUGUAACAGCUGCCAUUAUAGGAAUAGAUUGAGGAAAUAGAUUUGUUUCUGAAAAGAUAACCCAUUUUUUGAGUGAAGUCGGAAAUCAUUGAGUGGUCUACAGGAAUACGUGGCUAUGACGCUGAUUAAGAUACACACAUCUGUUUGUUAAAUGGUGGUGUAGACUGUAGCUAGAACCAUCUGAUGUAUGGAUAAUCUGUAGCUGUUUUAGUUAUUUUAGUGUUUAACAGUACUGAUUUUGUUUUUUAAUUUUUUUUUGCGUUAUUCGAUACAGAAUGAUAAAAUUUACCAUUCUUGCAUUUUAAUGUAUAGUUAAAAUCUUUCAUGGUUAUUUUACACAUCCAAGGAUUUUACCUUCUCAUUGCUUGGUUUGUCGUAAAUGUGAAAUUAGAACUGAUGAUUGGAUAGUAAAGCUUUCUAAGUCCUUUAGCACUUAUCUUGACCUAUUAAAUUGUAGGAUUCUCUGGAUCUUGAUCUGUAUCUCUCUCCUGUGGAACCUUCCACCCUUAAUUUUGUUUUCUGGCAUAUGUUUCAGCUCAGAGAAAUUUGAUUAAUAUCAAAAGAAUUGUUUGUCGGUUUCGCUUUCUACUUCCAGAAUCUUUCUUUCAUGUCUGAAUUCGACAACGCUAUUCCAACUGCUUUUGGUAUGUUUUAUUUGUUGGAUUAAUAUAUAUUUAUCAUUCUGAUGAAGUUAGAAGUUUAUAGUAAUAAUGUUUCUUCAAUGGAUGAAUAGAUCCCUUUGCUGAGGCAAAUGCUGAGGACUCCGGUGCUGGGACAAAAGAUUAUGUUCAUGUGCGUGUACAGCAGCGAAAUGGGAGGAAAAGCCUAACUACUGUGCAAGGGUUGAAGAAGGAAUAUAGCUACAACAAGAUACUUAAGGACCUCAAGAAAGAGUUCUGCUGCAAUGGAACUGUUGUCCAGGACCCUGAGUUAGGCCAGGUUUGUUUCUAUCUAUGUUGUUUCCAGAAUGUCCUUCAAAGAUGUUAUCAUGAAUCUGUACAUAGUCUGCUGUUGCCAACAAGGGGUGAUUGCAUGCAGUCCUCAGCUCUUUUGUUAUUCAAACUGUGAGAAAAAUGACGUGUAAAGUAUUUUGGAAUAUCUUCUUUGAAAAUAAAGCUCUUGUAGCUUUUCUGAUAUUAUGGGUGGGUAUUUGAUUCUCCAUCUCCCAUGCAUCCUGUGUGGAAAGUUCCUUUACACGUUGGUAGCUAUCUCUUGACACUUCUAAAUUCCCUUUCUUGCUUAUAACCUCAGUUGCUUUCCAAAUCUUUCUCUAUUAUCUAGACUAUAACCUUCUGCAUCCAUAACAGAUGAUUUAUUUUCCAUCUAUUCCCCCGAAGCUACUUAGAAAUUUCCAUCAUUAUUCUCUUCUAGUCGGUUUGUUAUCUAGACCAACCCAGAGAAUGAGCGCUUGCAGCAUGGACCUACAAUUCUCAUUUGGCAUGGUAUAGAGAAACACCACAUCUGUUCAGACAUUAGGAAUUAUUGUAUCAACAAUAGUCUUUACUAGUGCAUUCAGUUGAUAGCUGCUAAGGUGUGCCAACAUGAAGAGAGUUUGUCUGCAAGGACGUGUGUAACCGUUAAUGGAUCCUUCUUGUGCUUGCACUAAACACUGCUUUUGUGCAUGGGUGCAGGUC
rnacentral:lncRNA from 1 species